rnacentral:misc_RNA from 1 species
GGCGUUUAGAGGAGAAAGAGGUAUAUAUUUUUCUUGUUUCAUGAUGUUACAUGAUAUUUCUCAAGUUGCAUUCUAAUGUUAAUCUGAAUAUUUUCUGUGUAUUUUUACUCGCCAAGUCUUGCAUUAAAGAAAUGUUUAAUGUGGUUUUAUGAUCAAUUAAAAGCAGAAGAAUUUCUAAUUAUUGGAAUGUUUUAAGUACAUUUGCCAAAUUUAUAAUAUCUGCUUAGUAUAUAUUUAGAUUGGCAAUUCUUUCUAUAAAAGCAUUUUGCAUAAUUAUACAGUCAUUAUAUGUUCAGUAAUCUGCUUCCAUUUUGCCCAUAAUGCAUUUGCUAACUGUCACUCUUUGUAAUCACAUAAAAGGAUUUUUUUUUUCUUCCUUUUCUCUGUCUGAGCAGUCAGAGAUGAAACUUUUUGGAG